UAGGGAAUCUUCGGCAAUGGACGAAAGUCUGACCGAGCAACGCCGCGUGAGUGAAGAAGGUUUUCGGAUCGUAAAACUCUGUUGGUAGAGAAGAACGUUGGUGAGAGUGGAAAGCUCAUCAAGUGACGGUAACUACCCAGAAAGGGACGGCUAGCUACGUGCCAG
rnacentral:rRNA from 1 species